UACGAGAGGGGCGAGCGUUGUUCGGAAUUAUUGGGCGUAAAGGGCGCGUAGGCGGUCGGAUAAGUCUUGUGUGAAAUCUUCGGGCUCAACUCGAAGUCUGCACAGGAAACUAUCUGGCUUGAGUGUGGGAGAGGUGAGUGGAAUUCCUGGUGUAGCGGUGAAAUGCGUAGAUAUCAGGAGGAACACCUGUGGCGAAAGCGGCUCACUGGACCACAACUGACGCUGAGGCGCGAAAGCUAGGGGAGCAAACAGG
rnacentral:rRNA from 1 species